rnacentral:rRNA from 1 species
CAUCACUACGCUAGAUGCAUAUCAAUAAGCGGAGGAAAAGAAACUAACAAGGAUUCCCUUAGUAACGGUGAGUGAAGCGGGAAGAGCUCAAAUUUGAAAUCUUCAAGGUUUUACCUUGACGAAUUGUAGUUUAAAGAAGUGUUUCCUGUUGAAGUUUUCGGUAAAAGUUCUUUGGAAUAGGACAUCAUAGAGGGUGAGAAUCCCGUAUUUGACCAUUAUUUUCAGCUGUGUGAUACACUUUCAAAGAGUCGGAUUGUUUGGGAAUGCAGUCCAAAAUGGGUGGUAAAUUUCAUCUAAAGCUAAAUAUUGGCGAGAGACCGAUAGCGAACAAGUACCGUGAGGGAAAGAUGAGAAGAACUUUGAAAAGAGAGUUAAACAUGUACGUGAUAUUGUCAAAAGGGAAGCGUUUGACACCAGUGUUGUUUUCUCGAGAAUCAAUUAAAAAGAAGUUGGAUUUUGUGUUGUAUUGACCUUAAAAGCUUUCUUCACUUUUUCAUGUUUAUUUUUAAUGCACCUUUCGUUUAACAAGUCAACAUCAGUUUCUUUUGUUGUAAAAAGGUCAUUGGAAGGUGGCUUUCUUUUCGGAGAAAGUGUUUAUAGCCUUUGAUCUCUGCAACCGGAGAGACUGAGGUCUGCAGCGUAGACUCUUCGGGGUUAAAUACAUUUGUGCUAAGCUAUAGCUUUUUAUAGACAACUUGUUGACUAUAUUUAGUCUUGUGGCUUACUCGCUUAUGCUAUUUUACCUACGCUUAGGAUGUUGAUAGUCACAGCGUGUAC